rnacentral:rRNA from 1 species
AAAUUGAAGAGUUUGAUCAUGGCUCAGAUUGAACGCUGGCGGCAGGCCUAACACAUGCAAGUCGAGCGGAAACGAGUUAUCUGAACCUUCGGGGAASGAUARCGGCGUCGAGCGGCGGACGGGUGAGUAAUGCCUAGGAAAUUGCCCUGAUGUGGGGGAUAACCAUUGGAAACGAUGGCUAAUACCGCAUGAUGCCUACGGGCCAAAGAGGGGGACCUUCGGGCCUCUCGCGUCAGGAUAUGCCUAGGUGGGAUUAGCUAGUUGGUGAGGUAAGGGCUCACCAAGGCGACGAUCCCUAGCUGGUCUGAGAGGAUGAUCAGCCACACUGGAACUGAGACACGGUCCA